UUAAUUUCAUGUGCCCCCGAAAGGCCCUAACCAGUCGCUUCUCUCAGAGACUCUGCUGCGAAAAUGGUGGUCUUAUCCUGCGCUUACUCUGCUUAUCCUGCGCACGCUGUCUGUCUCAGAGCUCACAGAGGCUUUUCUCCAGUGCGGUCGACCUCUCCAGUCUCCGUUUCUCAUACCCAUCGUCAUCAUGAUCACCACCACCAUGAUCAUCCCUUUGUCCCAGAGGUUGAAAAGGCAGUGGACUCCUUGUACGCGGAGUUCCGGGCCGUGGAUAAUCUAGUUGCGCGUAACACUGCCCGUGUUCUUAGGGCUUUCCAGAAUGCCCGGGUUGGAUCCCAUCACUUUGGUGGUUCCACAGGCUAUGGACACGAGGAUGCUGGAGGACGUGAAGCCCUUGACCAAGCUUUUGCAGAAAUUUUUGGUGCUGAAUCUGCAAUAGUUCGUUCACAGUUUUUCUCAGGUACCCAUGCUAUCUCAUGUGCAUUGUUUGCUUUUCUUAGGCCAGGGCAUGAGCUUUUGGCAGUUGUUGGUGCUCCAUAUGAUACCUUGGAGGAAGUUAUUGGAAUUAGGGACUCUCAUGGAUUGGGUUCCUUGAAAGAUUUUGGAGUGAAGUACCGUGAAGUGCCACUUGCCGAGGAUGGUGGGCUUGACUGGAAUGCACUUGAGGGUGCAUUGACAGCUCAAACAAAAUGUGCACUCAUACAGAGGUCUUGUGGUUACUCAUGGCGUCGUAGUUUAAGUGUAAAUGAGAUAGGGAGGGCAAUCAAGAUGAUCAAGAUGCAGAAUCCGAACUGCUUGGUCAUGGUUGAUAACUGCUAUGGUGAAUUUGUGGAAAACAUGGAACCUCCAAUGGUGGGUGCAGAUCUAAUUGCAGGCAGUUUAAUAAAAAAUCCUGGGGGAACCAUUGCACCCUGUGGUGGAUAUGUUGCAGGGAAGGAAAAAUGGGUUAAAGCAGCAGCUGCUCGUCUAUCUGCACCAGGGCUUGGGAUUGAUUGUGGCUCAAUCCCUGGUGACAUAAUGCGUGCAUUUUUCCAAGGGUUAUUCCUUUCACCUCAAAUGGUCGGGGAAGCAAUCAAGGGAAGCUUCUUGAUUGCUGAAGUCAUGGCAGCUAAAGGGUAUAAGGUGCAGCCACUUCCUCGGGCACGCCGUCAUGAUACCGUACAGAAUUAUAAACGUGAAAUGAUCAUGUUGCUAGAUGCUGCUUUUCAGGCCGUACAGCUUGGAUGCCGUGAGCGUCUCCUUGCUUUCUGUGAGGCUGUACAGAGAAGCUCCCCAGUUGGUUCUUUCACCAAGCCCAUUGCGGGUUCGACUCCUGGAUAUGCAUCUGAGGUUUGCGUAAUCUUUGCUGAUGGAACCUUCAUUGAUGGCAGUACAAGUGAGCUCUCAUGUGAUGGACCACUAAGGGAGCCUUUUGCUGUGUAUUGCCAGGGUGGCACCCAUUGGACACACUGGGGACUAGUUCUGGGAGAUGUAUUGAAAUCUAUAUAAUCUAAGACUAAUCAUAGAAAUGAAGCAAGGUGUUUUAUUGAUAUGCUUCCAAGUUCCAACAAUAAUGUCAUUGUUUGAGUCUUCUCACAAAGACUUCCAAUUUAGCCAUUCAAUGGUGGCAAGAAUGAAAGGAAACCUCAAUGAGAUUGCUAAUGCUUGUUAAGUAGGGAGGGGAAGAAGGUGGCAUCAAACUCAACGCAAUUUUGAACCCAAGGAAUGCGGCUACUCUCUGAAGUUAUGUGGAGAAAUUAAGGAUUUCGGAACUACAGGUGGCAGACACAGGUUCUUACAGUAGCAGUUUUAUCUAUUUAUUUAUUUAUAAUUUUUGUAACCCUGGUUGAAUUGGGUUUUGUCAAUGCAAGGUGUACCCUCUGCUUAAUUUUGUAUGCGCCGAUUGAUUACAGAAACUGUAUUUUUUUGGUUGGUUGGUUGGUUGGGCGGCUUGUUAUAUCAAUUUCAGACAGUUUCAGUGGAUUUCAACCAUUUUUGCUUCCUAAAGUAGCAGGUGUGUGACUCACCAACACCAUUUUUUGUGUGUA